UUGGAGGGCAAGUCUGGUGCCAGCAGCCGCGGUAAUUCCAGCUCCAAUAGCGUAUAUUAAAGUUGUUGCAGUUAAAAAGCUCGUAGUUGAAUUUUGGAUUCGGCCAAUUGGUCCAUCUUUUAGAUGAGUACUGGUUGUGUUGGGUCUAUCCGUCUGGUGAUACGUAAUGUCCUUUAUUGGAUGUUGCGGGUAGUCAGGACCUUUACCUUGAAAAAAUUAGAGUGUUUAAAGCAGGCUUAUGCCGGAAUACAUUAGCAUGGAAUAAUAGAAUAGGACGAAGUUGUUUUAUUUUGUUGGUUUCUAGGACAACCGUAAUGAUUAAUAGGGAUAGUUGGGGGCAUUAGUAUUCAAUUGUCAGAGGUGAAAUUCUUGGAUUUAUUGAAGACUAACUACUGCGAAAGCAUUUGCCAAGGAUGUUUUCAUUAUCAAGAACGAAAGUUAGGGGAUCGAAGACGAUCAGAUACCGUCGUAGUCUUAACCAUAAACUAUGCCGACUAGGGAUCGGGCGAUGUUGUUUCCAUGACUCGCUCGGCACCUUAUGGGAAACCAAAGUGUUUGGGUUC
rnacentral:rRNA from 1 species